rnacentral:rRNA from 1 species
UCUUGGUCAUUUAGAGGAAGUAAAAGUCGUAACAAGGUCUCCGUUGGUGAACCAGCGGAGGGAUCAUUAUCGAGUUAUUCAACUCCCAAACCCUAUGUGAACUUACCACUUGUUGCUUCGGCGCGCGCUUCGGCGCCGCCGAGGAUACUUAAACUCUUUGUUUUUAUAAGCAUUUCUGAGUGGCCGAAAGGCAAAAAUACAAAUGAAUCAAAACUUUCAACAACGGAUCUCUUGGUUCUGGCAUCGAUGAAGAACGCAGCAAAAUGCGAUAAGUAAUGUGAAUUGCAGAAUUCAGUGAAUCAUCGAAUCUUUGAACGCACAUUGCGCCCGCCAGCAUUCUGGCGGGCAUGCCUGUUCGAGCGUCAUUUCAACCCUCGAGCCCGACUCUUUUGAGGACGGCUCGGCGUUGGGGGACGGCAGACUCCCCCCAGCAUCUCGCCGGGGACGCCGCCCCCGAAAUCUAGUGGCGGCCCUCCGAGGCGACCUCUGCGUAGUAACUUGUUCUCGCACCGGAAAGCUCAGAGCGGCCACGCCGUAAAACCCCAACUUUUUUCAGGUUGACCUCGAAUCAGGUAG